rnacentral:rRNA from 1 species
GAUGAACGCUAGCUAUAGGCUUAACACAUGCAAGUCGAGGGGAAACGGCAUUAUGUGCUUGCACAUUUUGGACGUCGACCGGCGCACGGGUGAGUAUCGCGUAUCCAACCUGCCCUUUACUUGGGGAUACCCCGUUGAAAGACGGCCUAAUACCCGAUGUAAUUCAUUGAUGGCAUCAGAUAUGAAUAAAAGAUUUAUCGGUAAAGGAUGGGGAUGCGUCUGAUUAGCUUGUUGGUGAGGUAACGGCUCACCAAGGCGACGAUCAGUAGGGGUUCUGAGAGGAAGGUCCCCCACAUUGGAACUGAGACACGGUCCAAACUCCUACGGGAGGCAGCAGUGAGGAAUAUUGGUCAAGGGGCGCAAGCCUGAACCAGCCAAGUAGCGUGCAGGAAGACGGCCCUAUGGGUUGUAAACUGCUUUUAUACGAGAAUAAUUUGAUGCACGUGUGCGUUAUUGCAUGUAUCGUAUGAAUAAGGACCGGCUAAUUCCGUG